rnacentral:rRNA from 1 species
CCUACGGGGGGCAGCAGUGAGGAAUAUUGGUCAAUGGGCGGGAGCCUGAACCAGCCAAGUCGCGUGAGGGAAGACGGUCCUAUGGAUUGUAAACUUCUUUUAUAAAGGAAUAAAGUGAGGCACGUGUGCCUUUUUGUAUGUACUUUAUGAAUAAGGAUCGGCUAACUCCGUGCCAGCAGCCGCGGUAAUACGGAGGAUCCGAGCGUUAUCCGGAUUUAUUGGGUUUAAAGGGAGCGUAGAUGGGUUGUUAAGUCAGUUGUGAAAGUUUGCGGCUCAACCGUAAAAUUGCAAUUGAUACUGGCAGCCUUGAGUACAGUUGAGGUAGGCGGAAUUCGUGGUGUAGCGGUGAAAUGCUUAGAUAUCAUGAAGAACUCCGAUUGCGAAGGCAGCUUACUAAACUGCCACUGACAUUGAUGCUCGAAAGUGUGGGUAUCAAACAGGAUUAGAUACCCUUGUAGUC